rnacentral:tRNA from 1 species
CGUCUAGAGGCCCAGGACACCGCCCUUUCACGGCGGUAACAGGGGUUCGAAUCCCCGGUUC